AAUCAAUCUCCACCUGUUUAUUCUAGAUGAAAAUAUCAAGGAAGAUUUAUUUAAGGUUUUAAUUAAUUACUGCAACGUCGGGUGUCGGGAGGACUUUAAAUGUAACGUGACGUGGCUUGGAGUUGCCAAUAAUUUUCGAGAGGUGGCCAAACAAAUUGAAGAGUUGAUUUUUCAAAGGUCGAUUUAACACUAGCUUGUGUCGUCUUUAGUCCACAAAUUUUACAAUCAAGGGCAGGUUGGAGAAGAAAUACAGUCUACCACAACAAGAGAUUCCAAUAGAUAUCUUUUAGC